rnacentral:rRNA from 1 species
UACGAAGGGGGGCUAGCGUUGCUCGGAAUCACUGGGCGUAAAGCGCACGUAGGCGGAUUGCUAAGUCAGGGGUGAAAUCCUGGAGCUCAACUCCAGAACUGCCCCUUGAUACUGGCGGUCUCGAGUCCGGGAGAGGUGAGUGGAACUGCGAGUGUAGAGGUGAAAUUCGUAGAUAUUCGCAAGAACACCAGUGGCGAAGGCGGCUCACUGGCCCGGUACUGACGCUGAGGUGCGAAAGCGUGGGGAGCAAACAGG